AGCCCCGUCGUCUAGCGGCAAGGACAUCGGGCUUUGGACCCGAAAACGGCAGUUCGAAUCUGCCCGGGGCUA
rnacentral:tRNA from 1 species